UUUCUCUCUCCUCUCACAAUUCUAACCCUCAAAACUCGUCCUAUAAAUAACGCCUCCCUUCUACCUUCCAUAGGCUUGAACACACAACUUCUCACUUCUCACUUCUCACUUCUCUUUCUAACUGCCUCAUUUUCUCUCUCCUCUCAAAUAAACAAACAACAUUUCCAAUUACAGUAAUCAACGGAAUUCAAAAUCCAGAAAUGGCCAGACCUUCACUUGAACCUCCUCUUUCCCCUAAAUCCAGUAUCAAAUUCCUUUGCAGUUAUGGCGGCAAAAUCCUCCCUCGUUAUCCUGAUGCCAAGCUCCGUUACCAUGGCGGCCAUACUCGUGUUCUCGCUGUUCCUCCCUCCAUCUCUUUCUCUGAAUUGAUGAAAAAGAUGGGAGAAUUAUGCGGCGAAUCAGUGAGUUUAAGGUGUCAACUACCAACCGAAGAUCUUGAUGUUUUAGUAUCCAUCAAAUCCGACGAAGAUCUCACUAAUUUGAUCGAAGAAUACGACCGUAUUCCAUCAAAUUCUUCCAUGAAAGUUAGAGCUUUCCUUUCCCCAAUUCGAUCGUCGAAAACAACGACAUCAAGUCUAUCACCUCCAGCUUCACUGAAAUCACUCUCGCCGAAAUCGCUUUCGCCGUCAUCUUCAUUCUCAGCUGCCGGAUCUUCACCAAGAGUUGCUUCGCCUAGAGUUGUACCGCCAGUGAUGGCGUACCCAGUUUGCUAUGCGCAAUCUGCUAACAGAAAUUGUCAUCAUUGUUGCCGGAAUUCCAGCCAUGUUUACCUCAUUCACAAUGGAAAUCACUGGCAAUAGUAUUCAGUUUCAAUUGGAUUGAAAUUGUUGAAGAAGAACAAAGUUAUAGGAUAUUAUUUUUUUUAUGAGAAUAUUCCAUAAAAAAAGUAUAAAGUAUAGUAUAUUAUAUCAGUAUAUUAUAUGAUGUAGUACGAUGUAAGAAAAAAAAAAUUAUACUUUGAUGAUGAUGACGAUGAAAGUAAUGAGAAUUGUUUUUGCGAAGUUUGGGUUGAACCAAAUUUUCUAUCAAUUUUCACACUGGGGCUUAUGGAGUACAACAGAAUAUCGUGAAUAUGUGAUGGAAAAGAAUCAAAGAUGAUUUCUUUUGGACGUAUUAUUGUGGGAGGAAGGAUAGAUGUGGUUGCUUAAAAGCCAUGCAUAUCAUAGCAUAGGUGUUAAUGGCUCCAAAUUUUGAAUUCACUGGGGACCUCAUGGGUUCCAUAUCAAAAAGACCCCAUCUAUUGGUGUUUUCAUUGAGCAGGGGAAAAUGCUCAAAGGCCCCAUUACAGCUGGUAGAGAAGAAUAAUAUUGGCGUGGUGUGGCUUUCAGCAAUGUGGAUUAAUAUUCUUAUUUUUGGCACCCAGUAAUAAGAGAUUAUGCCGGGAGCAAUUUAUUGUGCGAUGCUCGAAACAAGAGUUGAUUUCGGAGAAAUUGAUGGUAAUUGUUAUACACUAUUAGCAUUAUCCUCCAAAGAUGACGUGGAAAGAAGGGCAUUUGAGGUGUUUUUUUGGGCGGUUGCCCCAUCCUGAUCGGUUUUUCUCUGUCCACGUAAGACUUUUGGAUGUUCUCCCCCCCACCCCCCUUUCUGGACAAGUUGUUAGCUGAUACGCUUGAGCAGUUGCCAUCAAGGUGCGGCUGCCAAUCAAUAUCAUGUGUGGAUGGAUCUUCUAAUGGUGUUGCUGGGAAUGACUUGUUACCCUGGUAGUAGAUUAGGAGGGAAAUAAAAUGAAGUAGUUCACUUGCUAGAUUUGUAUGCAAAUUGGCAGAGGCUCCAUAUUAUUCCUAUAUAUUUUGAUGGUUAUGAAUGACUUGGAACAUGUGGAGGCAGAUUUUUGCGACAUAUCCUUCCAAGCAAAGUUUGAGUUCUUCUGCCUGCUGAAAGCCCUACAAAAUGUUCCAGAGUGGCUGUUGGAGGAAGGAAAGGCAGAGGUGGUUUCUCCGACACCAUAUGUAAUCUUUAACGUCAUGUUACUCGUUCUUAAGUUUGAAGGACCAUAUUGUAUCAACGUCAACAACAUUUUCGAAAGUUUUCUUCAGCUCGAAUAGGAAAUGUGCCAAGAUAUGUGAUGUGGUGCGGUGCUGUACUGUAUCAGAACGAACAAACCCAAUGGAGGAUGGUGACGGGUGCCAUAUCAUUAUGGUCUGGUAAUCCAGAAUUUAGUAAUCCAUAUAUUAUGAUAUUUGGUGAAGAAAUUUUCUGGCACCCAUUCAAAGAUGAUGAACAAGAGGACAAACAGAACAUGAGUGAUGGAUUGGAUUAAUGUUACAUCAUCAACAUUAUCUUUAGAGGAAAAUGAGGAAAAUGAGGCAAUAGAUAUGAGGUUAACUUUGGCAGUUUCCUCCACUUAUUAUUGUUUGAUCCUCUUUUCACUUACCUCAAUGAUUUUUGGCUGUUCUUUUAGGAGCAAAAGCAAAGCUGAUCUAAUCAUGGAACAGCUUGAGCUUUUAACAUCCAAAGCAGUUUCAUAACAGCACUAUGCAUUGUUUAUGGUUAAAAUGGCAUCACUGCACCAUUGGAAGGAGCUGGUGACAUGCGAAGCAGCUUCAUAACAGCACUAUGCAUUGUUUAUGGUUAAAAUGGCGUCACUGCAUCAUUGGAAGGAGCUGUUGACAUUCGUAGCAGCUUCAUAACAGCACCAUGUAUUGUUUAUAGUAAAAACGGUGUCACUGCACCAUAGGAAGGAGUUGUUGACAUCCGAAGCACUUUAAUAACAGCACCAUGCAUUUGAUAUGGUUAAAAUGGCAUCACUGCACCAUGGGAAGUCAAUGACAGGAUUAAGUGAUGUUGGCAGCUUGGAUCAAUUAACUGAACCAACUGAUCCAAUGGGCACCAGGAUUCUAGAGAAACUUGACCCAAGACUGAUAUUUCUGACAAAAGGUUACUACCAAAACACCAUACCUAUGAAAUCUCUAAAAUGCGAGUUAUAAAUCGAAACAGAUAUGCCUUUGGAUCUUCCUUUAUGCAUCCUACACAGUAUCAUUUUCAGAUACUGUAAGAAUUCAAAGCAAAGAAAUAUAAGAAUGCAUAAUUAAGGGGUAGACCAGUAGAGUAUGUUGUGCAACCAGGACUACUGAUGCUAUUCAUGCAGUGUAAUUUCUUAAUAAUUUCAUUCUAAAACAUCUCAUGACCAUAUCUAUCAAUGUUACAUUUGAUCGCGCUUA